CAGCAGCCGCGGUAAUACGUAGGGUGCAAGCGUUAAUCGGAAUUACUGGGCGUAAAGCGUGCGCAGGCGGUUUGUUAAGACAGAUGUGAAAUCCCCGGGCUCAACCUGGGAACUGCAUUUGUGACUGGCAAGCUAGAGUAUGGCAGAGGGGGGUGGAAUUCCGCGUGUAGCAGUGAAAUGCGUAGAUAUGCGGAGGAACACCGAUGGCGAAGGCAGCCCCCUGGGCCAAUACUGACGCUCAUGCACGAAAGCGUGGGGAGCAAACAGGAUUAGAUACCCGCGUAGUCCCUGUCUCUUUACC
rnacentral:rRNA from 1 species